GAGAACAAGAAAAACCAGCUGAGGAUACAAAAGGUAAUCAGAAUAAAGCAUAGCUAGGGACAAGGUCAAGGACUCCCUACUGGGCAAGGAACCACAGCUGAGAAAACUGUCGAGAAGAGAUGAUUCUUUGUGUAUAGAACUGACAAAUAGGUGGUUGAAAAGCUGCUCCUGACCACAGAAGCUGGAAGAAUGACACAGCAAGAAGCAGGCAGAGAAGAGAAACAACUUUCCGAGUACUCAAAUUUCUACUGAAGGUCAUUCUACUGAAGGAUUGAAGUAGAGCUAUCUUCAAUUCCACUUCUUGGAAAAAAAGAGUGAAGCUGAUCUCUAGAGGUGAGAAAAAGAAUUUACUGAAAGAAUUCUUUUUCCAGGUUCAGUUCAUGUGAUUGCUUAUUAUAAAUCACACCUUUAUUAAAAAGCAGCUUGAAUGAGUCUCUGCCUAGCUCCCAGAUGACUCUACCUAGAACUCAAAUGAAUGACAUGGAGACAGGACCAUGGAACAAGAUUGUUCUUUUUUCAAGAGCCUGAAGUGGGGUCAAAUUAUCAACAAAGGAAAGGUUAUACUUUUUGAAAACAAGACAGGAUGAAGAGAAAUGUAGCCUGGAAGACCCAUUAAUUAUUACUAUUAAUUUUUAAUAAUAAUAUAACUAUUGUUAUAGUUCUAUAAUCCUAUAUUCUAUGGUAUCUAAUCUAAUGUUAGAAUCUGUUAAUGGGUCACUUUGGCUAAAGAUAAAGAUAUAUGUAAUAAAAUAAUCUACUGUAUCUGCAUUAUGUAAAGGUUCAUUUAUAUUUUGUCUUCCUGUUUCUGCUUGAUGAAGAGAAAGUUGUAGUGGGUUGAAAUCAAAUUUAGUUCAACUAUUCAAUCCAAUAGUUGAAUUGGAAUCUCAAAAAUUCUAGCUAGGACUCUCACCACCUAUAGAGUCCCUGUAAAGUCAGUUAGAUGAAUUUUGCAUUCAGUAUCACCUGCAAAAGUGAUUAUGCUGUUCACAUAAGGAUGCUAUUGCUUAGGCUCUGAUCUUUUUUGCAGUUAUUACCAGGUAUAGGCUCAAGAUCCAUGACCCUUAGAAAAGUGUGAGGUCUUGGAGUUGAAAUAGUUUGAGACCAGUUUGUAACUUACCUGUCAAGCUAUUUGAAUAUGUUACUGAGUAACAGUUUCUUCCCAUAAAAAAUGGAGAGAAAAAUAUGUUCCUUGACAAGUGUGGAGAAGGAUGAAACAAAAUAUGUAAAUUAACUACCCAGUGCUUCCAAGUGCUUCACUACUAUGUCACUAUAAUAACUAUGAUUUUUAUUACAUAGGUAAAAUGUCCAACCACAUAAGAAAAAUUCUAAAACAAAAAUCAUUCUGUAAAAGCAAGUUCCAGUUUUCCACUUAUUGAUUAAUUAAUUACAUUGAUUAUAUUUCCCACGUUGUACAUAUCAUACAUAUGCUUUAUUUUAUAACUAAAAUUUGUACCUCUUAAUCUCCUUCAUGUAUUUCUUUUCUCCUCUCAUCCCUCCCCACUCUGGCAACUGUCUAGUUUCUGUAUCUAUGACUCUGUUCCUGUUUAGUUAUGUUUGUUUCCUUGUUUUUUUUUUUUUUUUUAGAUUCUACAUAUAAGUGAAAUCAAUCAGUAAUCAUGGUUCUCUUACUUAUAAUAACUAACAUAAUAUAUCCUCUAGGUCCAUCCAUGUUGUGGCAAAUGGCAAAAUUUCAUUAUUUUUUAUCAUAUCUUCUUUAUCCAUUCAUUUAUUGAUAGACGCUUAGGUUUCUUCCAUAUCUCCAUAUCCUAACUACUAUAAAUAAAGCUACUGUGAACAUUGGGGUGCAUGUAUCUUUUCUAAAGAGUAUUUUCCUUUUAUUUGGAUAAAAUCCAGAGAUGGAAUUGCAGAAUCAAAUGGUAGUUCUACUUUUAACAGUGUGAGGAAUCACCAUACUGUUUUCCCUAGUGGACACAGUGUUCUACAUUUUCAACAGUGAAAGACGGUUCUUUUUCUCCACAGUCUCACCAGCUCUAGCUAUUUUUUGUAUUUUUGAUAACAGUUUUUCUGACCGGUAGGAUGUGGAUCUCAGUUAUGGUUUUGAUUUGCAUCUCCCUAACAAUAAGUGAUGCUGAGCUUCUUUUCAUACGCCUGUUACCAUCUGUAUGUCUUCUUUGGAAAAAUGUCUGUAGGAGUCCUCUGCCCAUUUUUCAGUAAUCAUCUAGUUUUUUACAAUGUUGAGUUGUAUGACUUCUUGGUAUGUUUUAGGAAUUAACCCUUUAUCAGAUACAUCAUUUGCAAAUUUUUACAUUUACUUUUGAAAAAAUAUUUUCAAUACAUACAAAUUUCUGGGUAGUUCCUAUCAGCAUGUUCAAGAUGUAAUACAACUUUCCCCUGGCUUCUAUUUCACCCAUGAAAAGUUAGCUGUCAUUUUCAUGGUUGCUUAUUUGAAGGAUGAGUGGCUUUUUUUUUUUUUUUUUGUCUGCUUUUUUACCUUUGUUUUUCAGUGGUCUUAGUAGUAUGUACUUAGAUGUAAUUUUUAUUGUAUUCAUAUAUAUUGAGUUUUCCAGUACUUUUGAAGGUGUUUUAACUAACUUUUCCCAUAUUUUCCCAUAAAAAGUUUCUAAUAUUAAUGGUUCUUAUAUAGUUCCCCCCACAUUCCAUGUCCUCUACUUCUGAAUUUCAAUAUUAAUGUUAGACCAUCUUUCUGAGUCUGACAUUUACUCUGAUGCUCUUUUUUCCCCAAUGCUUAUAAUUUUUUCUCUGUGCAAAUGUUCAAGUAUUUUCCAAUGUCAUAGUAUUUAGUUCUAGAUCCCUAUCUUCUACUGUAUCUAAUCUAAUGUUAGACUUUGUUAGUGAAUCACUUUUCCUAAAGAUAAGGAUAGAUAUACAUAAUAAAAUAAUCUUCAUCUAUCCAUGUUACAUAGCAAUUCAUUCAUAAUUUCUGUUUUCCUCUUGGUUUUUGUCCUUAUGAUAAUGUCUUUUGCCAUGCAUUUUAACUUCUGACUGAAUUUCAAACAUUAUGACUAAAAUAUAUUGUAGAGUUUCAUGUAAUAUUUUCAUAUGUUAUCUUCUAUAUCCAAAAAGAAGACCUAUCCUUCAUUUCACUGUACAGAUAGAGGGGUGGCUGAUCAUCUUAAUCCAACAAAAUUAUUAUCAAUUAAAUCUGGGUUGAAGUUCUAGUAGGACUUUAUCUACCUCUGAUUUAUACUGCUUUCUAGGUAUUUGUUUUGGUUUUGUUUUUAACCAAGAAUAUGAUGUAUUCUGUGACGUUCUUACUCUAUUAAGUAAAGAAGUCUAAUCUCUGUCUUCAUGAGAAUGCUGGAAAUUCCCUUAUGGUCUUCAUUUUUUUCUGAUAUUCUUAGCUUUGCACUCCAUGCAACCCUAGCAUUUGGCAAGCAUACUGAAGGAAGAUCAGCAAUGUACUUGAAUAUCCAAAUUUCAUUCAUAAGUCUUCUGUUUUCUCCAUCCUUUAUCAGGGGAACACAAUAAUGCCAUUUGCAGUAACAAGGAUGGAACUAGACACUCUCAUACUAGGUGAAGUUAAGUCAGAAAGAAAAAGGCAAAUACUAUAUGAUAUCACAUAUCUGGAAUCUAAUAGAUGGCACAAAUGAACCUUUCCACAGAAAAGAAACCCAUGGACUUGGAGAACAUACCUGUGUUUGCUAAGGGGGAGGGGGAGGGAGUAGGAUGACCUGGGAAUCUGGGGUUAAGUGAUGCAAACUAUUGCAUUUGGAAUGCAUAAGCAAUGAGAUCCUGCUGUAUAGCACUGAGAACUAUAUCCAGUGAUGAAGCAUGAUGGAGGAUAAUAUGAAAAAAAGAAUGUGUAUGUAUAUGUAUGUGUGUGUGUGUGUGUGUGUGUGUGUGUGUGUGUGUGUGUGACUGGGUCACUUUGCUGUACAGUAGAAAAUUGACAGAACACCGUAAACCAACUAUAACAGAAAAAAUAAAAACCAUUAAAAUUUUUUUUUAAUUUAAAAAAUAAAAACAGUUAAAAAAUAAAGAAAUGACUGUUUAAAAAAAAAAAAAAUGACCCCUCCUGGACUUUGCAAUGGAUUUCCAGCUUCUUCAAAUGACUGGCUUAGCAAAUGUUCCCAGGUUGUAAGUCUUGCAGAAACUAUCUUUUAUAUCCAAGUUUUUUCUCCCAGAAUUUUUUUCCAGUUCUUUAGACCCCAGAAACUCUCCAUUUCCCUUCAAACAGUUUUUUUUCCCCCUGUACUUUAUAUUUUAUGUAUUUUUAUUUAGCCCCGCGGUAGAAAUUAUAAAUACUUUUUUAACUUAACGAUUUGCAAAGUUAAUUAUUUUCUUUAAUUUCAUUCUGAAAAAGCCAUGCUCUUUUCUAGCCUUUUUUUCUGUUUUGAACCCUAUCUAUUCAGUAGGCAUAUAUUUUUAUUGUUUUAUACUGUCAUUGUUUUUCUAGAUUAAACUGCAUUUGAAUACAUUAUACAUUUCAAUACAUUUCAGGAUUAUUUUACAUUUUUAUAUUAUAUCCCUUUGAUAUUAAACAUGAGUCAUAACUAAUUAAGUCUGCUGAGUAACUGCCUUAGUUUCUAGGCUAUUCUGUUUAAUUCUGAAAUUUAAAUGAAAAAAGACAACUAUAUAAAAUAUUAAUGAAUGUAAGCUCCAAAAGAUGGUAUUAGAACACGGAAAAAGUCACAUUCAAAAUCAUAUUUGUUUAUGUAUUUUGUCUGAGCACUUUGGUGUUGGUUUGCAACUCUGAAACUCCAUGAAAUUAAAAGUCUGGUUUAUUCUCAUCUUUUUGUGAAACCAAAGCUAAUGAUGCUGCUCUUUAAAGUGCUGCCUAAUCUAUGUUAAUAGAGUGCAGAUUAUUAUGAAAGCUAUAAUAAUCACAGAGAAAUUGAUAAUGAUUUGAAUCAGUGUCUGGCUUGUUAAUUGUAAAACCUAUACUAUAAAAGGAAAUUAUUUAACAACUGCACUUAACUAGUUUUGAAGUUUUAUUAGAAAUAUAGAUUAAUGGUUCCUAUGAUACUCAGUUCAGGAUAUAAAACAUCAUUGAGUUUACGGUAAAACUGUCAUAUUGAAACGUUGAUAGUCUAUAACCAGGUAAAAAAUUUGGAAAUCAUAAUGUUACAUUUUUUCCAUAUUUAUAUAUUUAAAUUAUUUUAUUGGCAGUAGUGCAGUGACAUAAGUAUGUUUUGUGUGAGUCAAAUAUUCAUAUACAGUUGACCCUUGAACAACACAGGUUUGUACUGUGCAGGUCCACUUAUACAAUGACUUUUUUCAAUAUACAGUACUACAUGACCCAUGAUUGCUUAAAUUCAUGGAUGUGGAACCUUGGAAAUGGAGGGCCAAUUGUAUGGUCACAUGUGGAUUUUUUCUUUCACAAGGAGUUGACCCUCUACCCUUGCCAAUUAUUCAGGGGGUCAAUUGUAUUAUCAUCUCCUACAGAUAAGACUUAUUGAAAGAAAUCGUAUCUCAGUUCUACAAGCUCAAACAUUUUAAUUCCCUAUAAUGCAGAAUAAAUAUGAUACUUUACCAUUAAGAGUAAAGCUGAAAAUUUGAAGGCUCUCAGAACAAGAAAUUCACUGACGAAAUUUCUCCCUUUAGUGUAACUUCCUGACAUUAGACCCUUUCAGGAAAAUAUAUUUUAAUAAAAAAGAGUAAAUGAAGAGGUAAAAACACUUAUUGAUGAUUUCUGUUUGCUGUAGAGUACCCUAAGUGCUUUAAAUCUGCUAUCUGUUGUAAUACCUCCAAUUUUAUUUUCAUUUUCAAGACAUAACAAAUGCAACACAGAAAGGUUAAUACUUUGCCACAAAUCUUGAGGCUACUGAGUGUGAAGUUUUAAUUUGAAAAGAAGUGUGUCCAACUUUUCCUAUUCAGUGGGCAUUAAAUGUAAAAGUAAUAAAGACAAAUAGAAGGUAUAAAGUUUUAAAAGAGAAGAGAAUGAAUGACUAAAAACAGCUUCAUUGUCUUCACAAACUCCUGUGGGAUAGCUCUAUAGAUUCCCCAAAUCCAGUGACAGUUUUUUUUUUCACAUCUUUUCUUUCUGUUUUAUACAUAGUCUAUUUUAUUGCUUAGAAGCAUCCAUUAGGAAUGACCUCAGAGAAGGAGGCAGAGAGAGAGAGAGAGAGAGAGAGAGGAAGAGAGAGGGAAAGGGUAUGCUUUGUGUAUAUUUGUUGAUGUUUAUAUGGUUAUAGUAUUUACCAUCAUCCAAAUUAACACCAAGAAUUAAUUUCAGUCCUUCUCAAUGAUUUUG
rnacentral:lncRNA from 1 species